rnacentral:rRNA from 1 species
GGCAUGCAAGUCGAACGAUCCCAAUUUUCUUCGGAUUAGUAGGGAAGUGGCAAACGGGAGAGUAACACCUUGGUAACCUACCUUCGAGACGGGAAUAGCCCAGAGAAAUCUGGAUUAAUACCCGAUAGUCAUGGGGGGACAUAAGUCAUUCCUAUGUAAGUGUUUUUCGCUCGAAGAGGGGCCUAGGUCCUAUCAGCUAGUUGGUGAGGUAAUAGCUCACCAAGGCUACGACGGGUAGAGGGCGUGAGAGCGUGACCCUCCUCACUGGGACUGAGAUACUGCCCAGACUCCUACGGGAGGCUGCAGUCAAGAAUAUUCCACAAUGGACGAAAGUCUGAUGGAGCGACACCGCGUGCAGGAAGACGCCCUUCGGGGUGUAAACUGCUUUUAUAGGGGACGAAUUCGUGACGGUACCUUAAGAAUAAGAGGUUGCUAACUCUGUGCCAGCAGCAGCGGUAAUACAGAGACCUCAAGCGUUAUCCGGAUUUACUGGGCGUAAAGCGUCCGCAGGUGGUUUAACAAGUCAUUGGUCAAAUCCUGAGGCUUAACUUCAGGACUGCUGAUGAUACUGUUAGACUAGAGGCUGGAAGAGGCAAGCGGAACUAUCGGUGUAGUCGUAAUAAGCGCUGAUAUCGAUAGGAACACCAAAGGCGAAGGCAGCUUGCUAGUACAUGCCUGACACUCAUGGACGAAAGCGUGGGGAGCGAAGGGGAUUAGAUACCCCCGUAGUCCACGCCGUAAACGAUGUGCACUAGGUAUUGGGAGUAUCGACCCUCCCAGUGCCGUUGAAAAAAGCUAACGCGUUAAGUGCACCGCCUGGGGAGUACGGUCGCAAGACUA